ACGAACGCUGGCGGCGUGCCUAAUACAUGCAAGUCGAGCGAACAGACAAGGAGCUUGCUCCUUUGACGUUAGCGGCGGACGGGUGAGUAACACGUGGGUAACCUACCUAUAGGACUGGGAUAACUUCGGGAAACCGGAGCUAAUACCGGAUAAUAUUUCGAACCGCAUGGUUCGAUAGUGAAAGAUGGUUUUGCUAUCACUUAUAGAUGGACCCGCGCCGUAUUAGCUAGUUGGUAAGGUAACGGCUUACCAAGGCGACGAUACGUAGCCGACCUGAGAGGGUGAUUGGCCACACUGGAACUGAGACACGGUCCAGACUCCUACGGGAGGCAGCAGUAGGGAAUCUUCCGCAAUGGGCGAAAGCCUGACGGAGCAACGCCGCGUGAGUGAUGAAGGUCUUCGGAUCGUAAAACUCUGUUAUUAGGGAAGAACAUACGUGUAAGUAACUAUGCACGUCUUGACGGUACCUAAUCAGAAAGCCACGGCUAACUACGUGCCAGCAGCCGCGGUAAUACGUAGGUGGCAAGCGUUAUCCGGAAUUAUUGGGCGUAAAGCGCGCGUAGGCGGUUUUUUAAGUCUGAUGUGAAAGCCCACGGCUCAACCGUGGAGGGUCAUUGGAAACUGGAAAACUUGAGUGCAGAAGAGGAAAGUGGAAUUCCAUGUGUAGCGGUGAAAUGCGCAGAGAUAUGGAGGAACACCAGUGGCGAAGGCGACUUUCUGGUCUGUAACUGACGCUGAUGCGCGAAAGCGUGGGGAUCAAACAGGAUUAGAUACCCUGGUAGUCCACGCCGUAAACGAUGAGUGCUAAGUGUUAGGGGGUUUCCGCCCCUUAGUGCUGCAGCUAACGCAUUAAGCACUCCGCCUGGGGAGUACGACCGCAAGGUUGAAACUCAAAGGAAUUGACGGGGGCCCGCACAAGCGGUGGAGCAUGUGGUUUAAUUCGAAGCAACGCGAAGAACCUUACCAGGUCUUGACAUCUAGUGCCAUUUGUAGAGAUACAAAGUUCCCUUCGGGGACGCUAAGACAGGUGGUGCAUGGCUGUCGUCAGCUCGUGUCGUGUGAUGUUGGGUUAAGUCCCGCAACGAGCGCAACCCUUGUUAAUAGUUGCCAGCAUUAAGUUGGGCACUCUAUUGAGACUGCCGGUGACAAACCGGAGGAAGGUGGGGAUGACGUCAAGUCAUCAUGCCCCUUAUGACCUGGGCUACACACGUGCUACAAUGGGCAGUACAACGAGAAGCGAACCUGUGAAGGCAAGCGGAUCUCUUAAAGCUGUUCUCAGUUCGGACUGUAGGCUGCAACUCGCCUACACGAAGCUGGAAUCGCUAGUAAUCGCGGAUCAGCACGCCGCGGUGAAUACGUUCCCGGGCCUUGUACACACCGCCCGUCACACCAUGAGAGUUUGUAACACCCAAAGUCGGUGAGGUAACCUUUGGAGCCAGCCGCCUAAGGUGGGACAGAUGAUUAGGGUGAAGUCGUAACAAGGUAGCCGU
rnacentral:rRNA from 1 species